rnacentral:rRNA from 1 species
AGCAGCCGCGGUAAUUCCAGCUCCAAUAGCGUAUAUUAAAGUUGCUGCAGUUAAAAAGCUCGUAGUUGAAUUUCGGGAUCAAUAUGUUGGUCGUGCCUCGGUACGUACUAGCUUAUUGGUUUCUCCCUUCUGACGAACCAUGAUGUCAUUUAUUUGGUGUUAUGGGAAAUCAGGACUGUUACUUUGAAAAAAUUAGAGUGUUUAAAGCAGGCUCACGCUUGAAUACAUUAGCAUGGAAUAAUGAAAUAGGACGUUUGAUUCUAUUUUGUUGGUUUCUAGGAUCGACGUAAUGAUUAAUAGGGAUAGUUGGGGGCAUUAGUAUUCAAUUGUCAGAGGUGAAAUUCUUGGAUUUAUUGAAGACUAACUACUGCGAAAGCAUUUGCCAAGGAUGUUUUCAUUAAUCAAGAACGAAAGUUAGGGGAUCGAAGACGAUCAGAUACCGUCGUAGUCUUAACCAUAAACUAUGCCGACUAGGGAUCGGAUGAUGUUAAUUUUUUAAUGACUCA